UACAGAGGGUGCGAGCGUUAAUCGGAAUUACUGGGCGUAAAGCGCACGUAGGCGGCUUGGUAUGUCGGGUGUGAAAUCCCCGGGCUCAACCUGGGAACUGCAUCCGAAACUGCCUUGCUCGAGUAUGGGAGAGGGAAGUGGAAUUUCCGGUGUAGCGGUGAAAUGCGCAGAUAUCGGAAGGAACAUCAGUGGCGAAGGCGACUUCCUGGACCAAUACUGACGCUCAGGUGCGAAAGCGUGGGGAGCAAACAGG
rnacentral:rRNA from 1 species